GAAUCCAUGGAAGAGGGUGAAGUAUACAAGUAUUUGGGAUUCCAGGAAGCCAGACUCACAGAACAGAAGAAAACUAAACAAACACUAUCAAAACUGUACACCAAUAUAUUAAAUAAUAUUCUCAAAACACAUUUGAAUGAAAAAAACACAGGGCUCAUACUUGAGAAACGAUUCAAUAUUUCAACUGGAAUUUGCUUUAUCACUCAUCAUACAAUUAUGACCUUGCUCUAAGGGAAUAUUACUUUUUCUGAACAUGGAAAACUAGUUCAGUACACAGUGUUUCAGGAUGGAAGUUGAAAGCCAUCAAUACAUUCGCCAUACCAGUACUUGACUUACUCCUUUGGAUUGAUACAAUGGUCACAGAUAGAACUAGAAUCACUCCAAAGAAACACACGAACAACACUUACAAAAUACCUGUACCAUCACCCGAAAUCUGCCAUAGAAAAAACUACUCUCCCAUGC
rnacentral:lncRNA from 1 species